UUAUGUGAGCUUCGCUGUGUGUUGUUUGGGCUCAAUUAAUGUCCUCAAGGACCCAUGUCGUUAUUGUGAAAAGCAAGACCCUUCAUUCGCACCGUUCUGGAGUUUAGGGUUCAUCACAAUCUUCGAUCUCCGCCACUAGAGAGGCUGAGAUGCAGAGGUCAGCGUGACAAUUCCGUUCAUUGGGGUUUCGAUCAGGUCCGUUCGCCUUCUUUACCUCUAUCGAAACGAGACAGUUUCCAGAUCCAUAGCAUUGAACAUGUUCUUAACUACUUUAGCCACGAUCUACAAUUUAAUGUGUGUUAAUCUUCUAUGUCUCUACGGAUAUAAAAAGCAUGACUUUGUUAGGUUCUUUUGUGAGAAAAUCAAUCAAAGAACCACUAAUUAGGUUCCUUUGUGAGGAAAGACUACAAUAGCUGCAGUGAUUUGUUGUCUCGGCUUAAGGUUCUUUUGACGAAAUUCAUAAAUUCUGUCUCCAUUGUUUGAGAAUACACCAAAUGCUGCUCAUGAGCUCACUCUUACAAGUAAUGUACUUGGAGUUGAAGACAAUGGCCCUGCCAAACAAAUGACACUCCCUUAUAAGGAAAACUCUCAGCAGCCUCCCUGAGACAAGCGAUGCCAUCCCCAACGCAGAUAUUGAUGCUAAUUUUAUUUGGGUAUUCGAGUCAGAAGAACGCAACUUCUUCAACACAGGGUCUUUCCAGCCCCUGAGCAUAUGGAGAAUGGUUGACCACGACCCUUUAGUUCCGCACCCAUGGUUUGACCAUCGUUUGAGCGUCUAUGGUCACAUGUUCUUCAGUCAUAGACCAAGUGACUUCUACCUGAGCUUCAGGUUUUGUUAAGAACCUUCUGGAAUUGGUGUUACUGUGUUAUUAAAGGGUUUAUUUGUCUGAAAGUAAUGAAGACAAUGAAGCUAUGAUAAUGAGAGUUCUAAGCUGCAAAACAGUUCUUAGCAAAGCUAGAGAAGACUUCGGGUAUUGAGGUCCAUUUUGAUAAGGCAAACAUGUCUAACAAUAUCAGAUACAGAGGACGAAAGCGAGGAGAAUGUGUGUGAUUCUGCAGCUGUCUGCGCUUUUGAUGGCAGCCAUUGAUGGUGGAAGUUCAGUAGGUGGCAUGAGAAAUUAUACAGUUAAUCCUCAAGUAAAUUAUUAUGAUACAAAUCAGAAAGAUGUCUUGACAUGGUGUGGCCUAUAUUAGUAACGAACCAGUCAUAGAAUUGAAAAAAUAAUUAUAGUAUUGGUUCUAUUGGAUGACUACAGAUCGACAUGAUUAUGUUAGAGCUGCAUGAACAGCAAAUAUAAGAUUACUUUGUUUUAUUAAAUGCUUUUUCAUAUUUA